rnacentral:rRNA from 1 species
UAGGGAAUUUUCGUCAAUGGGCGCAAGCCUGAACGAGCAAUGCCGCGUGAACGAGGAAGGUCUUCGGAUCGUAAAGUUCUGUUGAAGGGGAAAAAGAGCGGAGAGAGGAAAUGCUUUCUUGAUUGAUAUUACCCUUCGAGGAAGUCACGGCUAACUACGUGCC